rnacentral:rRNA from 1 species
GUGGGGAAUAUUGGACAAUGGGCGAAAGCCUGAUCCAGCCAUGCCGCGUGUGUGAAGAAGGUCUUCGGAUUGUAAAGCACUUUAAGUUGGGAGGAAGGGCAGUAAGUUAAUACCUUGCUGUUUUGACGUUACCAACAGAAUAAGCACCGGCUAACUUCGUGCCAGCAGCCGCGGUAAUACGAAGGGUGCAAGCGUUAAUCGGAAUUACUGGGCGUAAAGCGCGCGUAGGUGGUUUUGUAAGUUGGAGGUGAAAUCCCCGGGCUCAACCUGGGAACUGCCUCCAAAACUGCAUGACUAGAGUACGGUAGAGGGUAGUGGAAUUUCCUGUGUAGCGGUGAAAUGCGUAGAUAUAGGAAGGAACACCAGUGGCGAAGGCGACUACCUGGACUGAUACUGACACUGAGGUGCGAAAGCGUGGGGUGCAAACAGGAUUAGAUACCCGGGUAGUCC